GUCCCUCUAGUUUUAACCCUGCAGCUGAAAACAUAGCAGUUUCAGAGAAACUGCUAUGUUUCACUGAGGGUUAAUCCAGCCUCUAGUGACUGUCUCACUGACAGCCGCUAGAGGCACUUCCACAAUUCUCACGGUGAAAAUCACAGUGAGAAGACGCUGGAUGUCCAUAGGAAAGCAUUGAGUGAUGCUUUCCUAUGGGCGGUUUGAAUGCGCGCGCAGCUCUUGCCUCUUGCGCAUUCGGAGCUGAGAGGCGG